CAUCUUUUCUCGUUAGUUUUUGAAGUAUGGCCUGCCCACUGACUUUGGUGUUGAAGGGCCGCGGUAUUUUGACCGUGCAAAGGUAGCAUAGUCAUUAGUUCUUUAAUUGUGAUCUGGUAUGAAUGGCUUGACGAGGCAUGGGCUGUCUUAAUUUUGAAUUGUUUAUUGAAUUUGGUCUUUGGGUUAAAAUUCUUAGAUGUUUUUAUGGGACGAGAAGACCCUAUAGAGUUUAACAUUUGUUAUGGUCCCUUUCUGUUUGUGAGGGUUCAUUGGGCCGUUAAAUAUGUUUUGUUGGGGUGAUGGGAGGGAUUAUUUAACCCCUCCUUUUGUUAUUAUAUUUAUUUAUAUUUACUUGAUCCAUUUAUUUUGAUUGUAAGAUUAAAUUACC
rnacentral:rRNA from 1 species